UACGUAGGGUGCAAGCGUUGUCCGGAAUUAUUGGGCGUAAAGAGCUCGUAGGCGGUUUGUCGCGUCGGCUGUGAAAGCCCGGAGCUCAACUCCGGGUCUGCAGUCGAUACGGGCAGACUUGAGUGUUGCAGGGGAGACUGGAAUUCCUGGUGUAGCGGUGAAAAUGCGCAGAUAUCAGGAGGAACACCGAUGGCGAAGGCAGGUCUCUGGGCAUUAACUGACGCUGAGGAGCGAAAGCAUGGGGAGCGAACAGGA
rnacentral:rRNA from 1 species